GACGAACGCUGGCGGCGUGCUUAACACAUGCAAGUCGAACGGACCCUUUGGGGUUAGUGGCGAACGGGUGAGUAACACGUGGGUGAGCUGCCCUGCACUUUGGGAUAAGCCUGGGAAACUGGGUCUAAUACCGGAUAGGACUACGCACUGCAUGGUGUGUGGUGGAAAGCUUUUGCGGUGUGGGAUGGGCCCGCGGCCUAUCAGCUUGUUGGGGGGGUGAUGGCCUAUCAAGGCGGCGACGGGUAGCCGGCCUGAGAGGGUGACCGGCCACACUGGGACUGAGAUACGGCCCAGACUCCUACGGGAGGCAGCAGUGGGGAAUAUUGCACAAUGGGCGCAAGCCUGAUGAAGCGACGCCGCGUGAGGGAUGACGGCCUUCGGGUUGUAAAACUCUUUCGCCAGAGACGAAGCGCAAGUGACGGUACCUGGAGAAGAAGGACCGGCCGACUACGUGCCAGCAGCCGCAGUAAAAC
rnacentral:rRNA from 1 species